CGCUAUCACUCCUACGGGAGCAGCAGUAGGGAAUCUUCCACAAUGGGCGCAAGCCUGAUGGAGCAACACCGCGUGAGUGAAGAAGGGUUUCGGCUCGUAAAGCUCUGUUGUUAAAGAAGAACACGUAUGAGAGUAACUGUUCAUACGUUGACGGUAUUUAACCAGAAAGUCACGGCUAACUACGUGCCAGCAGCCGCGGUAAUACGUAGGUGGCAAGCGUUAUCCGGAUUUAUUGGGCGUAAAGAGAGUGCAGGCGGUUUUCUAAGUCUGAUGUGAAAGCCUUCGGCUUAACCGGAGAAGUGCAUCGGAAACUGGAUAACUUGAGUGCAGAAGAGGGUAGUGGAACUCCAUGUGUAGCGGUGGAAUGCGUAGAUAUAUGGAAGAACACCAGUGGCGAAGGCGGCUACCUGGUCUGCAACUGACGCUGAGACUCGAAAGCAUGGGUAGCGAACAGGAUUAGAUACCCUGGUAG
rnacentral:rRNA from 1 species